AUUGAACGCUGGCGGCAUGCCUUACACAUGCAAGUCGAACGGCAGCACGGGUGCUUGCACCUGGUGGCGAGUGGCGGACGGGUGAGUAAUACAUCGGAACGUACCUUAUCGUGGGGGAUAACGCAGCGAAAGCUGUGCUAAUACCGCAUACGCCCUGAGGGGGAAAGCGGGGGAUCGAAAGACCUCGCGCGACUAGAGCGGCCGAUGGCUGAUUAGCUUGUUGGUGGGGGAAAAGCCCGCCAAGGCGACGAUCAGUAGCUGGUCUGAGAGGACGAUCAGCCGCACUGGGACUGAGACACGGCCCAGACUCCUACGGGAGGCAGCAGUGGGGAAUUUUGGACAAUGGGGGCAACCCUGAUCCAGCAAUGCCGCGUGAGUGAAGAAGGCCUUCGGGUUGUAAAGCUCUUUUGUCAGGGAAGAAACACCGGCUCUAACACAGUCCGGGAAUGACGGUACCUGAAGAAUAAGCACCGGCUAACUACGCGCCAGCAGCCGCGGUAA
rnacentral:rRNA from 1 species